UCUCUCUCUCUCUCUCUCUCUCUCUCUCUCUUUCUAACAUGUCAGAGCGAGAAAGAAAAAGAAAGAAAGAGAAAGAAAGAGAGGGGCACAAAAAACCUAGAAAUUUUGGCUUUGCCUUUCUUUCAACGCCAGAACCCAACAGCAAUCAUCAUGUCCUCCUCUUACCUUCUUUAUCGCCAUCAUUGCUUCCACACCACCCUCUGCUGCUGCUUCAUCACCUCCAAGUCCAACCACCCCACAAAACCCACACCCAAAGUGUCAUUAUUCUCAUUAAUAUCACCACCAAAGAAGAAGAAGAAAAAAAAGAAGCGACCCAACGAAAAGAAAAUUUUCUCAUCAUGAUUUUCAAGCGCCCAGCAGAAAGACAACCCUAGCUUAGCUUAGCUAUAGCUAAUAAGCUAGCUUUCUCGCUCUCCUUGGUUGCGAGUGAAGAAUCUCGAUCUCUCUCCUUAAUAAAGUUCAAAGAGUUAUUGCAAGUCUUUGCGCUUUGGGGGAAUCAAGCAUCUUGGUCCGACGACGAUUUGCUAGUGUUGAAUCAAAGCAAAUCUCAAAUUUUCAACUUCUUUUGGUUUGGCAACUUGUUCCUUAGAUUUAUGUCACGUGCACUUUAGAUCUUGUUAGCUAUAUAAAGGCUCUGUCUUUCCUGGUUUUGUUGUUAUAGGUUAUGUUAAGACUCAAGUCACUAUAUUUGGUAAGAAACUCUUUUGUUCUCCGAGUGUGUGUGUGUAUGAAUUAUCUUGUUUAAAUGAUCAGAACUAUUGUUUGUGUUGUACUUGUAACUGCUGAAGAAAUCGAUUCUAGAUUAUAUAUGUGAAGUACUGGUUCUACUUGAUUUUCCUUUUCCAGUUCAGAUCUACAGGAUCCGUGUUAGGGUUUCUACAAAGGGAUUUUCAUAUAUGUGAAUUAACAAAGAUCAAUCCAUUACCCUUUCACCAUAUAUACAUGUAACUUUGUAAUUUGAGGUCUAUAUAUAUAUAUAUAUAUAUAUUUGGACCGUAUUUUUAAUUGGUUAAUUAGCAUUCAGCUAGCUCAAAGUAUUUUCAAAAUGGAAGUGUGUAUAUAUAUAUAUAUAUAUAUAUAUUUGCUCUUAAUUUGUAGCAAAAAGAAACUAAUUUAAUUUAAUAUACGUGUUCAGCUUAGCAAAGCUAUGUCAUAAUUGUUCAUUUUGUCAGUGAGAUCUUUUUCCAGUGGGAUUCUGUGCAAAGUAUAUGUAUUGAGAUUGGGAAAAUAGAUAAUAAUUACUUGUGUUCUUCAGUCCACCUUUUGCAGCUGAGAGUUUUGCCAAAUUAUAUGUAUGAUGUUGGGUACAUUUUGUCUGUAUGAUGUUGGCUUCACCAUAUACGGAUGAUGGAGAUUGGAGUACAUUAUUCCCAUGACCCAUUGUGGGAGCUGAUUCGCUAGUUUGAG
rnacentral:lncRNA from 1 species